UACGUAGGGAGCAAGCGUUGUUCGGAUUUACUGGGCGUAAAGCGCGCGCAGGCGGCCUUUUAAGUCUGACGGUGAAAUGCCGGGGCUCAACCCCGUGCCCCGCCGGAGAUACUGGGAGGCUGGAGACGAGUAGAGGCAAGCGGAAUUCCUGGUGUAGCGGUGAAAUGCGCAGAUAUCAGGAGGAACACCAAUGGCGAAGGCAGCUCGCUGGGACGGUACUGACGCUGAGACGCGAAAGCGUGGGGAGCAAACAGG
rnacentral:rRNA from 1 species